rnacentral:rRNA from 1 species
GAUGAACGCUGGCGGCGUGCCUAAUACAUGCAAGUCGAGCGAACAGAUAAGGAGCUUGCUCCUUUGACGUUAGCGGCGGACGGGUGAGUAACACGUGGAUAACCUACCUAUAAGACUGUGAUAACUUCGGGAAACCGGAGCUACUACCGGAUAACAUAUUGAACCGCAUGGUUCAAUAGUGAAAGGCGGCUUUGCGGUCACUUAUAGAUGGAUCCGCGCCGUAUUACCUAGUUGGUAAGGUAACGGCUGACCAAGGCAACGAUACGUAGCCGACCUGAGAGGGUGAUCGGCCACACUGGAGCUGAGACACGGUCCAGACUCCUACGGGAGGCAGCAGUAGGGAAUCUUCCGCAAUGGGCGAAAGCCUGACGGAGCAACGCCGCGUGAGUGAUGAAGGUCUUCGGAUCGUAAAACUCUGUUAUCAGGGAAGAACAAAUGUGUAAGUAACUGUGCACAUCUUGACGGUACCUGAUCAGAAAGCCACGGCUAACUACGUGCCAGCAGCCGCCGUAA